CGAGGACCAUUGCUGUAUUCGCAUAACGUGUCUGGAAUGUCUGUGAACACAGCUGAUGGUAUCUCUUU
rnacentral:pre_miRNA from 1 species